CCCUUAGAUGUUCGGGGCCGCACGCGCGCUACACUGAUGGGGACAGCGUGUUUGCCAUUCCUGGUCCGGCAGGAUUGGGCAAUCCGUUGAACCCCCGUCGUGAUUGGGAUCGGAGCUUGUAACUAUUCUCCGUAAACGAGGAAUUCCCAGUAAGCGCAAGUCAUCAGCUUGCGUUGAUUACGUCCCUGCCCUUUGUACACACCGCCCGUCGCUCCUACCGAUUGAGUGCUCAGGUGAAUAAUUCGGACUGCAGCAAUGUUUGGAUCCCGAACGUUGCAGCGGAAAGUUUAGUGAACCUUAUCACUUAGAGGAAGGAGAAGUCGUAACA
rnacentral:rRNA from 1 species